UGUAGGUGUUGUCCGUAUUCCCGUCAUUUCACACAGUGUCUCUCGUCAUUUGCUGACGUUCCGUCAGGACGACGGUAACCCUGGACUUCAACGCUGUCGUCAUGGAGACGGUGUGACUUCUUCUCUGUUCACCUCAGGAUGAUGAUGAUGAUGAUGUGUGCUGACUGGACAGACCGAAGACCUUUGUCGUCACACACUGUUUCAUAACAGACAAAUCCUCUGACCGUGCCGAGUGGAGAGAGAGUCAUCCUGUCCAAAUGACCUGAGAGACGUCCAUGUCUUUUUCCAGCACCUCGUCACCACACAGGUGGUAGAGAGAGAGGCUGUGUCAGAGACCCACCUUUUGGCCCUGCUCAGCCCCAAAGACCGCCUUGGGACACCUGCUUGUCUAGCUCACUCCGGCUGCACCACACCCAGAAUAGACUAGCCAUGUCUGCUGCUGACUGCACUACAAAUGUCCCAAUUGGUGGAAAAAUGUAAGAUCAUUAUUCAGCUGAUCACUGCUUUACGCUCAUUGGGGAACGUGGUAGUCUUGCACAGCCUAGUUGAAUGCACUGACGAAGUCUCUGUGGUUAAAAAAAAAAGUGUCUGGUAAAUGACCCAAAUAUAUAAAUUUUAACUUUUUGAUUUUGAUUUGAAGGUGGAGACCAAUAGGUCGAUACAUCUAUCAGGCAGUUUCACCAAUCAGACGUGGACAGAGCGCCUCUCUUAUCUCCGGUUGGUCGGCAGAGACCGUUUGGCCACAAACGGCUACGACACCAAGUGGGAUGCGCCGUUUGACCCGGGGACAGCGAGGGUUACCACACCUACACCACAGAAACAGACCAGGAUCUCCCAGCCCACUAUACAUCAUAGGAGUUCAGUUGUCCCAGCCCACUAUACAUCAUAGGAGUUCAGUUGUCCCAGCCCACUAUACAUCAUAGGAGUUCAGUUGUCCCAGCCCACUAUACAUCAUAGGAGUUCAGUUGUCCCAGCCCACUAUACAUCAUAGGAGUUCAGUUGUCCCAGCCCACUAUACAUCAUAGGAGUUCAGUUGUCCCAGCCCACUAUACAUCAUAGGAGUUCAGUUGUCCCAGCCCACUAUACAUCAUAGGAGUUCAGUUGUCCCAGCCCACUAUACAUCAUAGGAGUUCAGUUGUCCCAGCCCACUAUACAUCAUAGGAGUUCAGUUGUCCCAGCCCACUAUACAUCAUAGGAGUUCAGUUGUCCCAGCCCACUAUACAUCAUAGGAGUUCAGUUGUCCCAGCCCACUAUACAUCAUAGGAGUUCAGUUGUCCCAGCCCACUAUACAUCAUAGGAGUUCAGUUGUCCCAGCCCACUAUACAUCAUAGGAGUUCAGUUGUCCCAGCCCACUAUACAUCAUAGGAGUUCAGUUGUCCCAGCCCACUAUACAUCAUAGGAGUUCAGUUGUCCCAGCCCACUAUACAUCAUAAGAGUUCAGUUGUCCCAGCCCACUAUACAUCAUAGGAGUUCAGUUGUCCCAGCCCACUAUACAUCAUAGGAGUUCAGUUGUCCCAGCCCACUAUACAUCAUAGGAGUUCAGUUAUCCCAGCCCACUAUACAUCAUCGGGAACUUAGUUUAGUAGUUCACAGUCCACUAUACCAGCUGAGUAGUUUCCUCCCCCAGCCCACUACCAGCCCGGUAGGAGAUGGCUCUGACAGCCCACUAUACAUCAUCGGGAACGUAGUUUAGUAUUUCACAGCCCACUAUACCAGCUGAGUAGUUUCCUCCCCCAGCCCACUACCAGCCCGGUAGGUGAUGGCUCUGACAGCCCACUAUACAUCAUCGGGAACUUAGUUUAGUAGUUCACAGUCCACUAUACCAGCUGAGCAGUUUCCUCCCCCAGCCCACUACCAGCCCGGUAGGAGAUGGCUCUGACAGCCCACUACACCUCCAUAGGCCACUCAGUAGUAGUUCACAACCCCCCCCCAGUCCCUUUUUACACCCCAGUAGUUCACAGCUAACUAUACCCAACAAGCAGGCCAGUAGUUGCCUCUCCCAGCCCACUACAUUACACAAGCAGUUAACUAGUUCCAAACCCUACACCGUUAGUAGUCUAUCGCCCUUGACAACGGAAGGUUUGGACUCUAACCUCAGCGGUCAUUUUGAGAACUGUGGUGGCAGCUUAGAAGAGGCCUCAGGAUUAUUUUUGGGGGGGAUCUUUAGGAACCUGUGGAGGCUUCAAUGACAGCAGCUAUAGUCCUCUCAGCUCUCCUCCAUCGCUGCCUCCACAGAGGAGCUAUCCUUCAUAAAGUCCUCACAACCUAAACGGAAGAAGUCUGGCAUGGGUCUCUGACCUCAGUAUUGAUGGAUGCAGCCUCACCUCAAACUGGUCCUUUUCAAACCAGAUGAUGGAUAAAACUAUGACAUAUAUUCCUGUAUACCUUUCACCCUGAUCCCAGCAGUCCUCAGGAAUGGUUGGCAGUUCAGGGACGCUGUAGUAGCUGGUGUGAAGAUUCUGAGCUGUCCUUCUCGACACGAUCCAGACAAGCUUUUUAUUGUUGGGUUUGCUACAUUCGGGAGAAGAGUAGUCGGACAUACACUUGGCCACUAGUCCCUUCCAGUGUAGCAGCUCAACGUCGGUGAUCUGUAAAAGACGAGCAGGGCAUCAUAACAUUGGACACCGGGUUACAUAAUAGACUGGGUCAGCAGAAACCCUUUUGGGAUGGAUCCCAGGCGUUGUAAAAGGAUAGCAGCCGGGAACAUGAGGCCGGGGAAUGUGAAAGCUUUUAUUUUUUAAUAUCUUUCCGUAACCGUGCCAGUUGUCAUGUGAAACCUUUUGGACUAGGGUUGUAGGGCAUACAAUAUUCAGAGAUGGUUCCAGGGGGAAAAAUAGGUUUCUUUUGUGUACGAUUUUGACAGUUAACACCGGGUUACUGCUGUUUUAAAACAAAGGAUUACAUCCAUGCAAUAAAGCUUCAAGGAUGUUCUAACAAGUGUA